GACGAACGCUGGCGGCGUGCUUAACACAUGCAAGUCGAACGGAAAGGCCCCUUUGGGGGUACUCGAGUGGCGAACGGGUGAGUAACACGUGAGUAACCUGCCCUUGACUUCGGGAUAACUUCAGGAAACUGGGGCUAAUACCGGAUAGGAAUCCUUGCUGCAUGGUGGGGGUUGGAAAGCUUCGGCGGUUUUGGAUGGACUCGCGGCUUAUCAGCUUGUUGGUGGGGUAGUGGCUUACCAAGGCUUUGACGGGUAGCCGGCCUGAGAGGGCGACCGGCCACAUUGGGACUGAGAUACGGCCCAGACUCCUACGGGAGGCAGCAGUGGGGAAUAUUGCACAAUGGGCGGAAGCCUGAUGCGGCAACGCCGCGUGCGGGAUGACGGCCUUCGGGUUGUAAACCGCUUUCAGCAGGGGCGAAGCUUGUGGUGACGGUACCUGCAGAAGAAGCACCGGCUAACUACGUG
rnacentral:rRNA from 1 species